GUGGGAGUGAGCCUGCUCGCGAUGGCGCCGUGUCAGUCAGCCAAAUCGGUGACUGAAAGAAUGCAAUCGCGAGCAGGCUCACUCCUAC
rnacentral:antisense_RNA from 1 species